rnacentral:misc_RNA from 1 species
GAAAAAUUUAAGUAAAAAAGCCACAUCCAUAGCAUUCCCUUCUCCUUUCAUUCCCUCUCUAUUCUAACAGCCAAAAUUGAAACACACGCACACUUGGAUUCUCCUACGCUAGAAAAACAUAGUCUCACUGCAUUCAUUAUACACAAUAGACAAACACUCUCAUAGAGUCUGAGCAGCAUGACUUUUCUCUCUCCUCGACAUGUGCAAACAACUCGUUCCUUGCCCAACGAAGGUCUAACUAAUAAACAAGAUUUGAAGGAGAAGGCCCAAAUCUUUUUAGUGAAAGCUACUGUAGAGGUAGAAAGAUCUCACCCUGAAUGUUGCAAAGACCUCAAGCCAAUAAAGCAUAUCUGCAUUCAGUACCAUUUUUGGUUUGGGACCCAAUCGAUCCAUGCUAAACUACCAGUGACCACUAUAUCACCAAUCUGAUCCUUUUUCGACACUACCGUUGUUUCACUGAGAGAGAAUUUGAGUGGAAAGACAAUUAACGGGAGGAAGAAAAGUUAAUGAACCAUUAGCAAGUGGGGGAGAGCGCCAUGGAGGUGCGGAGAGAGUAAGCAGAGGCUGGUUUAGUCGCAUGUCAUCUACAAGUGAUGGCUGAG